rnacentral:lncRNA from 1 species
GGGGGCGCUGGGGUGAUUAGCAUCAUGCAGGGCAUGUGAUUCUGACACCCUCUUCUGUGGUGGGGGUGAGAAGGCACCGGUGCCACUAGUCCCUGACCUGUCCCUCAGACAAGUUACAAAUGAAGACUGAGGGGGUGGAGUAGCUAUGGAAACCAGGAGGGAAGGAUUUUUUUUUUUAAUGCAAAUGAAUUAGAACAAAAUGACUGGCAUCCCUUUUUCUUUUUCCAUCUGUGACAAAAGUUCUGUGUCCUGGUUUCUACCUUCACUUGGAGUAAAUUAUGGGGGAAAGAACAUCAUGAAGACCUGCUAUUGUCAGAGUGUCAUUUCCUCUUUCUAUCUUUCUGUGGAUUAAUUUUAAAUCCAUUUGAUAGAAUUAAUCAUAUAAGCCAGUCUCAUUUCCCUGCAAAUGUCUGCCUUCGUGCAGGUGAUUCUGUAGAAAGGAGUUUCUCCAAUAAAGCAGAGCUUCUCUUUCAACUCCAUGGACAUCAGAGAGAGUCCCUUUCAAAAAAGGAGGCUCAGGUCUGGAGAGACAAAGGCCUCUACUUUCGAAAAGGCCUCUUGGAUCAAGCCCAGCUCUGUCGGAGCAUUCUGAACAAUCACAGUAAGAGAAAUGCAAUGACAGCCAUGCUUCAUCUCCAGCUGUUUCCUGAGAAGAUGACAGACCCUCAUCAGAGCUGACAACAUGUCCAGCCUGCACUACUGCAAGAACUUCUUUGUCUAUGGUAGUGUGGUCAACUGAAGAAGCCGGCUUAGUUGCUCCAGUCAGGUGCUCACACUAAGAAAGGAUGGGUGAAGGUUAUAAAGUGGCUGUGAAUGAGAACUCGGUCUGGGCUCUACCAAGCAGAGAAGCCAUGCAGAGAUGAGAAAGGUGAAAGCCAUGAAACCAUGUUAAGCAGAAAAAUAAAAAUUCAAAACAGAA